rnacentral:rRNA from 1 species
GACGAACGCUGGCGGCGUGCCUAAUACAUGCAAGUUGAGCGCUGAAGGUUGGUACUUGUACCGACUGGAUGAGCAGCGAACGGGUGAGUAACGCGUGGGGAAUCUGCCUUUGAGCGGGGGACAACAUUUGGAGACGAAUGCUAAUACCGCAUAAAAACUUUAAACACAAGUUUUAAGUUUGAAAGAUGCAAUUGCAUCACUCAAAGAUGAUCCCGCGUUGUAUUAGCUAGUUGGUGAGGUAAAGGCUCACCAAGGCGAUGAUACAUAGCCGACCUGAGAGGGUGAUCGGCCACAUUGGGACUGAGACACGGCCCAAACUCCUACGGGAGGCAGCAGUAGGGAAUCUUCGGCAAUGGACGAAAGUCUGACCGAGCAACGCCGCGUGAGUGAAGAAGGUUUUCGGAUCGUAAAACUCUGUUGGUAGAGAAGAACGUUGGUGAGAGUGGAAAGCUCAUCAAGUGACGGUAACUACCCAGAAAGGGACGGCUAACUACGUG